rnacentral:rRNA from 1 species
CCUACGGGAGGCAGCAGUGAGGAAUAUUGGUCAAUGGACGAGAGUCUGAACCAGCCAAGUAGCGUGAAGGAUGACUGCCCUAUGGGUUGUAAACUUCUUUUAUAUGGGAAUAAAACGUUCCACGUGUGGGAUUUUGUAUGUACCAUAUGAAUAAGGAUCGGCUAACUCCGUGCCAGCAGCCGCGGUAAUACGGAGGAUCCGAGCGUUAUCCGGAUUUAUUGGGUUUAAAGGGAGCGUAGGUGGAUUGUUAAGUCAGUUGUGAAAGUUUGCGGCUCAACCGUAAAAUUGCAGUUGAAACUGGCAGUCUUGAGUACAGUAGAGGUGGGCGGAAUGCGUGGUGUAGCGGUGAAAUGCUUAGAUAUCACGAAGAACUCAGAUUGCGAAGGCAGUUCACUGGACUGCAACUGACACUGAGGCUCGAAAGUGUGGGUAUCAAACAGGAUUAGAUACCCUAGUAGUC